rnacentral:rRNA from 1 species
AGCAGCAGCCGCGGUAAUACGUAGGUGGCAAGCGUUGUCCGGAAUUAUUGGGCGUAAAGGGCUCGCAGGCGGUUUCUUAAGUCUGAUGUGAAAGCCCCCGGCUCAACCGGGGAGGGUCAUUGGAAACUGGGAAACUUGAGUGCAGAAGAGGAGAGUGGAAUUCCACGUGUAGCGGUGAAAUGCGUAGAGAUUAGGAGGAACACCAGUGGCGAAGGCGGCUUUUUGGCCUGUAACUGACACUGAGGCGCGAAAGCGUGGGGAGCAAACAGGAUUAGAUACCCCCGUAGUCCCUGUCUCUUAUAA